AACCACAAGUUUCUUGAUUUGAGUUUCCGAAUUUUCUAUCAUUUAUCAACUCAGUUUUCUUGUAUAGUUAACUCCUAAUCAUGGAAAACAAUAGAAAAAGAAAGUUUAAUGUACCACUAUAAUAUUUCUCACAGAUCACAAAGCUGGGAUCGAUAUUAGAGAGUGUUUUGUCUGAUGGAUAAAGAUGAAUUGGAUAUUAUGAUUUUUUUUUGAAGUUGUAUGCUGCUGCACGAUAUAAAAAUCAAUUUUCCUGAUGCUAUUUUAAAAGAGAAAUAUUUAUCUCAUCAAAAGGAAUAGGAAAUUCACUGUAGAGUUGUUAUUUAUAAAAUGAUUUGCCUUCGUAUAAAAUAUAACUUUGUACUCUCAUCAUUCUUGAGGAAAUCAUGUUCGGCUUUGUUUGAUUUUGAUUCUGGAAAACAAACCCACCUACAAGCUCUUGUUCUUGGGUUUGAAUCGGACCUAUUUAUAUCAUCAGCUUUGAUUGAUAUGUGUUUAAAAUGUGGGAAGUUAAGUGAUGCAAGAAUACUGUUCGAUGAAAUUCCUUAGAGAAAUAUUGCUACUUGGACUUCUUUAAUCACCGGGUAUGUUCAAAAUGAUGAUGCUCAUGAAGCGUUAAUGGUUUCUAAGGAGUUUUUGAUUGAGAAGAGUGAAGGAAAUGGUGAAGAGGUAGGAACUUCUGUUGAUUCUGUUGCUAUGGUUUCUGUUUUAUCGGCUUGUUCUUGUGUUUCUAAUAAAGCAGUCAGUGAGGGAGUUCAUGGGGUUGCUAUGAAGGUCGGGUUGGAUAAAGUGAUGGGAGUUGAGAAUACUUUGUUGGAUGCGUAUAUAAAGUGUGGUGAAAUGAGUUUGCCUGGAAAGGUGUUGGAAUUCUAUGAUUGCUGUGUAUGCCCAAAAUGGGUUAUCGAUGGAUGCUUUUGAAGUUUGUCAUGGGAUGUUAAAGGAUGGUGGUGGUAAAGACAAUGAGGUUACCUUUUCCACUUUGUUGCUAGCAACCAGGAACACCCUCUUCCUCUAAUCAUCCUGGUGCAGCUGAAGAAGUUGAUGCAGAUGGGGAAUCAAGCAGCACCACUGCAAAUUGCGUUGACCGUGGUAGUUAACACUCAUUCCAUUGAAUUAUUUGAAUUACGUCGGCUGGUCUCUUAGACAAUGAAAUUUGAGGCAAAAGAAUUAAAAAAGGUGGGAGGAAGAACAUUUUCAAGCAGAAAUUUGACGUUAGAGCUGGAGAAAAGCUGCUAAAGACAUCACACUUCUUUUUGUCAACUGAAACUGGUGCUGUUGCAGGACUUCUUUUUAUUUCUACUGAAAAGAUUGCUUUCUGCAGUCAGCGAUCAAUUUCCUUCAAUAUUCCUAAUUGGCAGCACAAUGACACAGUUGAACAGCUUUCCAAUUUCAGCGAAGUGCAUGUAGAGGAAAAACUGGUUGGUGGGGUUGUCACGUUGAAAAUAGAACACUAGGGGAUUGCUAUGGUUGAUUGGAACCGCUGCUCUUUGCAUGAUAGCAGAUGGGAAAGUGUACUUGUUAUCAUCUGGUGAUUUAAUGGCAUAGCUAGUAUUUUUAGCUUCACAACCAAGAGGCAGAAGAGGUGACCAAAUUCAAUCAUAGACAUCGUUAGAGAACCUUGAUGAUAUGUUUCUGUUUACUGAGAAAUUUCUAGAUAAUACUGGACAGUUGAGGUAAUGUAUGAAAACAUGAAAGAAAAUGGCUCACCUGAUCGAAUCUGAAUAGGCUACACCACAACCAACUCUGCGGCCAACAACUCAGGUACAUUGCUGUAAGUGUUAUUGUCCAAAAGCCUUAGCUCCAAAACUGAUAUGAAAGGUGUCCCAAAACCUGUGUUCACAAGACAAAUGUCUAUAUUAUCUGAAGAAAGGACAUGGAUGAUUUCUGUUGUGAGGGGAGUGGAUGCAUCAUUCAGUCUCACUGCUUCCCAUCGUAGUUCAUCAUAGUUACCAUACAAAAACCCUGCACUGAUCAGAUACUUGUUCUUGCUGACCCCGUGCGUAGGUUUCAAAGGUAACAAAUUUUGGUUCCAUCAGGGAAGCUUCUGAGAUUGAGAUAUUGCUUGUCUAUACCUGUUGUGUUGAUUUUGGAUGAUACAUUCUUAUUUACACCAGUGCCUUCGUAGUUUGCAUAUGAGGUGUAAUAGAUGCCUAUUAUAUUAUCUUCGUAGCUUGAACCUUAUCCAAAAAUCUCUAAAGACCAUUUAGGGUUCUCGAUUACUAUAAAACUAGGUGGUGAUUCAUGUAUUUAAUUUUAUCUUCGUCAAUCCUGAAAUAAUCAAGAUCGUUGAGAUUUUUCCUAUGAUAAAA